UUCCUACGGGUGGCUGCAGUGGGGAAUAUUGCACAAUGGGCGCAAGCCUGAUGCAGCCAUGCCGCGUGUAUGAAGAAGGCCUUCGGGUUGUAAAGUACUUUCAGCGAGGAGGAAGGCAUUAAGGUUAAUAACCUUAGUGAUUGACGUUACUCGCAGAAGAAGCACCGGCUAACUCCGUGCCAGCAGCCGCGGUAAUACGGAGGGUGCAAGCGUUAAUCGGAAUUACUGGGCGUAAAGCGCACGCAGGCGGUCUGUUAGGUCAGAUGUGAAAUCCCCGGGCUCAACCUGGGAACUGCAUUUGAAACUGGCGGGCUUGAGUCUUGUAGAGGGGGGUAGAAUUCCAGGUGUAGCGGUGAAAUGCGUAGAGAUCUGGAGGAAUACCGGUGGCGAAGGCGGCCCCCUGGACAAAGACUGACGCUCAGGUGCGAAAGCGUGGGGAGCAAACAGGAUUAGAUACCCGAGUAGUCG
rnacentral:rRNA from 1 species